rnacentral:lncRNA from 1 species
AUGUGUAUCAAAUUCAGCUCAGUCAUAGCGAAGGAGAAUGAACGAUGGCAUUCAGAUGGCACUGUGUAUCCCAAACCCAGCUGGCUUGGAGAAGAGUUGCUGGCCAGGUUGGCCAGGUGGUGUGUGGAGAGCAGGCAGAGUGGCUUCAAAAGCACCCUGUCCCUCAUCUCCAUCGUGAAGUACAGCACGACUUACCAGGCGCUGAAAGAGAAGUACAAGGCCAUGGUCAAGGUAUGGCCUGAAGUCACUGACCCUGAGAAGUUUGUAUAUGAAGAUGUAGCUAUUGCUGCCUACCUGCUGAUCCUCUGGGAGGAAGAGAGAGCCAAACGGGGAGAGACCGCCCGGCAGUCCUUCGUGGACCUGGGCUGCGGCAAUGGCCUCCUGGUCCACAUCCUGAGCAGCGAAGGGCAUCCAGGCCGAGGGAUCGACGUCCGAAGAAGAAAAAUCUGGGACAUGUACGGACCCCAGACCCGCCUAGAGGAAAGUGCAAUCACACCAAAUGAUAAGACCCUUUUCCCUGACGUCGACUGGCUAAUCGGUAACCAUUCUGAUGAGCUGACGCCAUGGAUCCCAGUCAUUGCGGCCAGGUCUUCCUACGCCUGCCGCUUCUUCAUCCUGCCCUGCUGCUUCUUUGACUUCGUCGGGAAGUUCCAGCGGACGCAGAGCAGCAAGACGCAGUACCGAGGGUACCUGGACUUCGUCACCGAGGUGGGCUCGGCCUGUGGCUUCCACGUGGAGGAGGACUGCCUUCGGAUCCCUUCCACCAAGCGGGUCUGUCUCAUCGGGAAGUCCAGGACAUACCCGCCCGCCAGAGAGGCUGCUGUGGACGAGGAGAGGACCCGCUACAUUAACAGCAGGCGGGGCCGCCCCAGGAGCCCCCGCAGCGGGGCUCCUGCCCCUCUGCCCCCCGGGGCCGCUCCCAGCAGCUCCCCUGGCCCCGAGGGGCAUGGAGCCCUGGACGCCUGGCCCGCGCACACAGCGGAGGCCGGAGCCCCAGCGGGGGCACUCUGGCUGUCUGGGUUUCAGCCGCGGGAGAAAGCCGAGCGCCUGAGGAACUGUGCCGCCCUCCCUCGAGAGUUUGUGGACCGAGUGGUUUUGCACGUGGCGCGCUUGUUGCUGGGAAAGGGAAGCCCUGCAGGCGGGAGUGCGCAGGCCUGGAAUCGCGGAGGUCCCAGCCCGGGCUUCCCGCUGGGUGCCAGGCGGGAG